UAUUAAAAAUUCAUCUAGUUGUACUCUUAAAAACUUUCAUGACUAACAGAAUAACCGGAAAUAGCACACGGCAUGUCAUGUGUGCCUCAUGCUGACAUAUAGGGAUAAGUUUUUAACAGUACAAAUGGAUUGAAUUUUUAACA
rfam:Gossypium raimondii Chr08_contig_1321, whole genome shotgun sequence.